ensembl:snoRNA
CUGCAUACCAGUAGACCCUUUCUGGCUGGCCUCUUAGCCAUAAAGGGGGGACAGCGUAUGCAACAGUAAACAGUUAAGUUGCCAGCAGACUCAUUCAGACAAGCCUAUGGCUGAUUGGCCUGCGGUACUUAAACAGAA